CCUACGGGGGGCUGCAGUCGAGAAUCUUCGGCAAUGGGCGCAAGCCUGACCGAGCGACGCCGCGUGCGGGAUGAAGGCCUUCGGGUUGUAAACCGCUUUGGUCCGAGAGAAAGGGCAACUUGAUCGAUCGGAGAAACAAGGACGGGCUAAGUUCGUGCCAGCAGCCGCGGUAAGACGAACCGUCCAAACGUUAUUCGGAAUCACUGGGCUUAAAGGGCGCGUAGGCGGCCGAGCGGGUCGCGGGUGAAAUCCCCCAGCUUAACUGGGGAACUGCCCUCGAUACCACUGCGGCUCGAGGAAGGAAGGGGUCAUGGGAACUGUCGGUGGAGCGGUGAAAUGCGUUGAUAUCGACAGGAACGCCGGUGGCGAAAGCGCAUGACUGGUCCUUUUCUGACGCUGAGGCGCGAAAGCCAGGGGAGCAAACGGGAUUAGAUACCCGAGUAGUC
rnacentral:rRNA from 1 species